UUGCUUAACUGCAGUUAUAGUUUUGUACAGUAAGGGCAUUUUUAAGGGCACUGGUGAUCUCUAUGAUGGAUCUUCAAUCCAGGAACCAACUUUUAACUCUUCAUUCUUAAAAAUGCUAUAAAAUUGAAUAUUACAAAUAUGGACAGGACAUGAACUUCUGAGGCCGCGAGAUUUGUUUUCACCAGUUGAAUGUCAUCAGAUGUGACACAUACCACCUUCCGGCAGAGGCUUUAAAUGUGCUUUUGUGGUAUGGAUUGGCCUUUUGCACUCCCCCAUCCCUUAGCCAGAAUGAAAGUCACAUGGAACAGGCUUGAACCUGAGUUGCUCCAAACCCUGAAGAUCUAUGGAUGACCCACGCAGCCGCGAAGAAGGAAUACGCGCUCACUGCAAACUGCUGAGACAUGGACCUUAUUGUGACCGACACAGGAAAACCUGACUGCUGUUACUCAAAACGGUCAGACGGAUCUGGAAAUGGUCAGUUCAGUCCUUAGUUUUACAGAGCAAAGACUGAGAUGAUUGGCCUCUGGCAUGUGCUGUGUUUGCAGAAUAAAGUAAUACGUAAAUCCAA